rnacentral:rRNA from 1 species
UACAUCGGAACGUGCCCGAGAGUGGGGGAUAACGAAGCGAAAGCUUUGCUAAUACCGCAUACGAUCUCAGGAUGAAAGCAGGGGACCGCAAGGCCUUGCGCUCACGGAGCGGCCGAUGGCAGAUUAGGUAGUUGGUGGGAUAAAAGCUUACCAAGCCGACGAUCUGUAGCUGGUCUGAGAGGACGACCAGCCACACUGGGACUGAGACACGGCCCAGACUCCUACGGGAGGCAGCAGUGGGGAAUUUUGGACAAUGGGCGCAAGCCUGAUCCAGCCAUGCCGCGUGCAGGAUGAAGGCCUUCGGGUUGUAAACUGCUUUUGUACGGAACGAAAAGACUCUGGUUAAUACCUGGGGUCCAUGACGGUACCGUAAGAAUAAGCACCGGCUAACUACGUG